rnacentral:rRNA from 1 species
UACGGGGGGGGCAAGCGUUGUUCGGAAUUACUGGGCGUAAAGGGCUCGUAGGUGGCCAACUAAGUCAGACGUGAAAUCCCUCGGCUUAACCGGGGAACUGCGUCUGAUACUGGAUGGCUUGAGUUCGGGAGAGGGAUGCGGAAUUCCAGGUGUAGCGGUGAAAUGCGUAGAUAUCGGGAGGAACACCGGUGGCGAAGGCGGUUCUCUGGGCCUUACCUGACACUGAGGAGCGAAAGCGUGGGGAGCGAACAGG